rnacentral:rRNA from 1 species
CGCAACACUAAACUCUAGCGGAGAAGAACCACAGGGGUUGCCCUAGUAACGGCGAGUGAAGCGGCAACAGCUCAAAUUUGAAAUCUGGCUUCGGCCCGAGUUGUAAUUUGCAGAGGAAGCUUUAGGCGCGGCACCUUCUGAGUCCCCUGGAACGGGGCGCCAUAGAGGGUGAGAGCCCCGUAUAGUUGGAUGCCUAGCCUGUGUAAAGCUCCUUCGACGAGUCGAGUAGUUUGGGAAUGCUGCUCAAAAUGGGAGGUAAAUUUCUUCUAAAGCUAAAUACCGGCCAGAGACCGAUAGCGCACAAGUAGAGUGAUCGAAAGAUGAAAAGCACUUUGAAAAGAGGGUUAAAUAGCACGUGAAAUUGUUGAAAGGGAAGCGCUUGUGACCAGACUUGCGCCGGGCUGAUCAUCCGGUGUUCUCACCGGUGCACUCUGCCCGGGUCAAGCCAGCAUCGGUUCUCGCGGGGGGAUAUAGGCCCUGGGAAUGUGGCUCCUCCGCGAGAGUUCUAAUUCGGGGUGUGGCGGGCUCUCGCCGCGAUAGUGGGGCGCUCU